rnacentral:ncRNA from 1 species
GGUAGUAGCAAAUAUUCAAAUGAGACAUUUGAAGGACGAAGAGGGGAAAGGUUCCAUGUGAACAACACUUGCACAUGGGUUAGUCGAUCCUAACGGUCGGGGGAGCCCGACAGACAGCGUGUCCAGCGCGUGCUCC